AUCAGUCUUCUUGCAGAUCGCAAGCCGCGUGGACAGCAACAAUUCGAUUCGCAGAAGCAAUUGAUAGUUUUUGAUCUCGCGACAAUGUCCACGAUUUGCACUUGACACGUAUUACAAUUCUCGUAUUAAAUUCUCUUUUCUAAAAAUCUUAAUUCACGGGAAAUGCAAUUGUGAGAAAGAGAUAAAUUCGCGUCAUAGAACUAUAUUUGAUGAUUGUUGCUCCAUUUUAGAUAUUGCGCAUAUUGUAUUUGUUACAUAUUUUUCUAAGAAUUACACAAAACGCGACGUAAUCCUCUUUGUCAGAGUUUCCUUGUUUGUUUGUUUUCUACACGCCGACAUAAUUUUGUUAUUCUAUCAGCACACAACAUGCGUAUACAAAGCACGAGAGAAUGGUGGGCCAUCCUUGUCAGCUUCACAAUAGUUAACGUGACUAAUUUGCGAUUAGCUUUCUGCGAAAAUGAGUGGGAGAACGAAAAGAAAAUGCACUCAGAAGAACUGCGUCAAUAUACUUGCUGUGCUCGACAUGAAAAAAUAAUCGACGUAGGAAACGAGGCAGACAACCAAUGAUGUUGACCCAUAACGUAUUUGAGGAUACUUAUGUAUUUUCUCUCUCUUUUUUUUUAAUAUACG